rnacentral:rRNA from 1 species
ACGGGUGAGUAACACGUAUGCAACCUGGCUGUAAGAGGGGAAUAACCCGGAGAAAUCCGGACUAAUACCGCAUAAUACUUAGAAUCCGCAUGGAUUUUAAGUUAAACAUUUAUGGCUUACAGAUGGGCAUGCGUAUGAUUAGCUGGUUGGAGAGGUAACGGCUCCCCAAGGCAACGAUCAUUAGGGGUUCUGAGAGGAAGGUCCCCCCACACUGGUACUGAGACACGGACCAGACUCCUACGGGAGGCAGCAGUGAGGAAUAUUGGUCAAUGGACGCAAGUCUGAACCAACGCCAAGUCGCGUGAAGGAAGAAUGUCCUAUGGAUUAGUAAACUUCUUUGGAAGGGAAUAAAGUACGGUACGUGUUACCGUUUUGUAUGUACCCUUCGAAUAAGGAUCGGCUAACUCCGUGCCAGCCGCGGC